rnacentral:rRNA from 1 species
UACAGGGGGUGCAAACGUUGCUCGGAAUCAUUGGGCGUAAAGCGCACGUAGGCGGUUCGUUAUGUCGGAUGUGAAAGCCCUUGGCUUAACCGAGGAAGUGCAUCCGAAACUGGCGAGCUAGAGUACUAAAGAGGAUCGCGGAAUUCCCGGUGUAGAGGUGAAAUGCGUAGAGAUGUGGAGGAACACCAGUGGCGAAGGCGACUCACUGGCUCGGUACUGACGCUGAGGUGCGAAAGCGUGGGGAGCAAACAGG